rnacentral:lncRNA from 1 species
AUUCCUGGCGGUCACAUCCCACCCCAUCUUCUGUUACUCCACCCUACCCCUCCCAUCCCUCCACCUCUUCCUCCUCCUCUUCUACCAACGCCCGCACUAUCUUCUGGUUCUUCUCCUCUUCAACCUCCAUUCUCCCCCUCUCCCUUCUUUUCCUCUCUCUUUCACCCUCCCCCACUCUUUCGUGUCUCUUUCCUCCUCUGAAUAACCAAGCUGUUUUGCUUCCGAAAGUAGAGAGAGAGGGAGAGAGAGAGAGAGAGAGAGAGAGAGAGAGAGAGAGAGAGGAGAGAGAGGCCUUGCUGUGAAUGGAAGACAGGAGGGACUCUGGUACAUCUGGGAGUGGAAACUUGAUGCUUCUGGGCUGUGAUUUGCCAAGGUCUCGCCAAAGACGCCUAAAGGAGCCUGUUUGUGUGCUGUGUGGCCACGUUCUGCUGUGACUGGAUCUUGUCUUCUGCCUGGCUCCUCGAUUUCCGUCCGGCUGGAUUUGGGGACAACACUGCCUGGCGCAGACAGAUCAAAUGACACUUCAAAGAAGCAUAAAAUGAACAGACUAUUCAAACAAAGGUAAUUUACAUUUUUUUAUUUGAUAAAACCUGACUGAUGUACAAAACGAAAAUAGAAUAUUGUUUACUGGAAAACAGGUCUACAAUCUCUCACACAUCUUCUCUUGCAACAGAUAGAAUUCCAGAAACAUCUAAGUUCCUCUGUGUACAGUUAUUUCUCCUGUAGGAGCCUUUGUAUGGAUGUAAUACACACAUAUAUGUAUAUGCAUAGAGCAUGACAUAAAUAAAACCUGCAAUAGCCUAUAAGAAAGAAGCUCCUAUUUAGAGGAAAGGGUAAGAUACUUUUAUUAUAAUGAAAGCCAGUUCACUUCAUCACUUGGACCAUGGACACUAAUGUAAAUAAAAUGGCUUAAAAAAUAAGACAAUAGUAGUAUUGACUGUAGACUACAAUUUGCACAUUUGUAAUUCUUAUAAAUGAAAUAUUUAAAAUGAUUUGGUGUUGGGCCAGUUCCUUAUGCAUUCUGCAUUCAUGUGUAUAGGAUUCAAAGACGUUCCAAAUAUUGAUCAUAAACCAAGUGUAUAUGAAUUAAUUAAAUAGCAUAUUUCUGGCCCAAAUAUGAGGAAAACCAUAACUUUUUACUGUAAAUCAGGAGAGAUUGUUUUAUCCCCAAAUAAACUAGGAUGUUUCAAGUCAUGUUUCAGCAAUUUGGAGACCUACAAACUAUCUGCAAGCAAGCACAACAACCAUACUCUAAUCUACUAGAUAGUAGUGAGAAUUUAGUGCUUGAAUUCAGGCUGCUUGAAUUCAGUAUAUCCUUCUCUAUGCUGAUUUUCAAGUAGAUAUUCUGUAGCUCAGCUAGAUAAUCUUUUAAAAGCAAAAAAAAAA